AGAGUUUAUGUUUUAUGAGAUGUUGUAUUUGGAGUUAAUGUUGAGAUUAUGGAUUUAUAUAUUUAUGUAUAUUUGUAUGGAAAUAUUUAAACUAGCUUAGUUUUAUAUAUUAUAUUAUGAUCACUAUGUGUAGGAUGUAUAUAUUGUCACGCCCCAGAUUACCACGUUUCUCGGGGCACGCCAACAGAUAUACAAAAGAAUUUUUUCUGUAUACGAAGCGAUAGCUGUAUCUAUAUACCUGUAAUCAUACAAAACUACAACUAGUAGUAUAGAGCUGCUAACAGAACUGUAAACAUAUAU
rnacentral:lncRNA from 1 species